rnacentral:rRNA from 1 species
AACGAACGCUGGCGGCAGGCCUAACACAUGCAAGUCGAACGCCCUAGCAAUAGGGAGUGGCGCACGGGUGCGUAACGCGUGGGAAUAUGCCCUUGACUGCGGGACAACAUCGGGAAACUGAUGCUAAUACCGCAUAAUGACUCCGGUCCAAAGAUUUAUCGGUCAAGGAUUAGCCCGCGUCUGAUUAGCUAGUUGGUGAGGUAAUGGCUCACCAAGGCGACGAUCAGUAGCUGGUCUGAGAGGAUGAUCAGCCACACUGGGACUGAGACACGGCCCAGACUCCUACGGGAGGCAGCAGUGAGGAAUAUUGGACAAUGGGCGCAAGCCUGAUCCAGCCAUGCCGCGUGAGUGACGAAGGCCUUCGGGUUGUAAAGCUCUUUCAGAUGCGAAGAUAAUGACGGUAACAUCAGAAGAAGCCCCGGCUAAAUUCGUGCCAGCAGCCGCCGCCG